rnacentral:rRNA from 1 species
UACGAAGGGGGCUAGCGUUGCUCGGAUUGACUGGGCGUAAAGGGCGCGUAGGCGGUUUGCACAGUCAGACGUGAAAUUCCUGGGCUCAACCUGGGGGCUGCGUUUGAUACGUGCAGGCUUGAGUUCGGAAGAGGGUCGUGGAAUUCCCAGUGUAGAGGUGAAAUUCGUAGAUAUUCGGAAGAACACCAGUGGCGAAGGCGACUCGCUGGACAAGUAUUGACGCUGAGGUGCGAAAGCGUGGGGAGCAAACAGG